GUCUGGAUACCUCAGUUGGUUACAGCGUGGUGCUGUUAACACCAAGGUUGCAGGUUCAAUCCCUGUAUGGGACA